GUCUCUUUGAACCCUCAGACAUGAAGUACAACCUGAUGCGUAACACCACCCUGGACCCGUCUCUCACAGAGAUGAUGGAGGCAGCCAUCACCAUCCUGAGCAGGAACUCCAAUGGCUUCUACCUCUUUGUGGAAGAUAAGUUGGGGCCGGUGCCCCUGGGGUGGGCAAGAAGGGGGCUCCCAAAUCCCAAGGUGGGAAAAAGAGUUGGGGGUGCUGCCAUCAAUCCCCAGCCCACCGCGGGUGCCCGUCUGCAGGCGGCAGGAUCGACCACGGCCACCACGAUGGUGCAGCCCAUAAGGCGCUGACAGAGGCGGUGGAGUUUGACCGGGCCAUCGAGCGGGCGGGUGCCCUGACAGACGAGGCACAGACCCUCACCGUUGUCACCGCUGACCACUCGCACGUGUUCUCCUUCGGGGGCUAUACCCUGCGUGGCUCCUCCAUCUUUGGUCUGGCCCCCAAGAAAGCCUCUGACAAAAAGAACUACACGUCCAUCCUCUAUGGGAACGGUCCAGGCUACCCGGGCACCAGCAGGACCGAUGUGGACAAUGACAAAGCUGAGCAGUACGAAUACUUGCAGCAAGCGGCCGUGCCCCUCAGCUCAGAGACCCACGGUGGCGAGGAUGUGGCCAUCCUGGCCAAGGGCCCCAUGGCCCACCUCUUCCAUGGGGUGCAGGAGCAGACCUAUGUGGCCCACGCCAUGGCCUAUGCCGCCUGCCUCGAGCCCUACACUGCCUGUCGCCAGCGGGGCUCUGCCCCCAGCGCCCAUGCCACCCCCCUGGCGCUGCUCCUGCCCACCCUUCUCCUGCCCCUCUUCCACUGACCCCACGGCCCACGGGUGCUGCCAGAACCACGUCCCCCGCUCCCCGCGGCUGUGGCACCUACAGGUGGGUGACAGAUUUUGAAGCAUCCCUGGUCUGGAUGCAGCAGCUGCAGGGCAUGGGGCAGGCCCUACGUCACCCAUAUGGGGUGCUCGUGUUUAAUAAAUGUGGAGUGUGAGGCUUGUGGGGCA
rnacentral:lncRNA from 1 species